AUUACAUACAUUAACGUUUCAUUGCAGAGCUGUCUCUUGUACCCACAGCAAGGAUUUUCUUGACGGAUACAAUGAGAAUAAACUUGUACAAUGCAAAAAUUUUUC